GAAGGCAGACCCUUAACUGACUGAGCCACCCAGGUGCCCUGAAUUUCCAUGUAUUCUUUGUAAUCAUAUGAAAGACAAAGAUACCAGGUAUAAUCUAAGAAAGUGAAAAACUAGUAACUAGGGUCAGGCUAAUGCUAAUUGGGGGAAUCCUUUAUUUUAUUUUAUUGUUUGUCAUGUUUUGUAUUUUCAUGAUAUUGGUCAAAUUAUUUUACGUUUGUAUAAUUCUUUUAUUGUUUAAGAUGUUUCUGUAUCCACAUAUUUUUUAAAAUUUUAAUUCCAGUAUAAUUAACAUACAGUGUUAUAUUGGUUUCAGGCAUACAAUAUAGUGAUUCAGCAAUUCUGUUCGGGAUGCCUGGGUGGCUCAGUUGGUUAAGCAUCUGCCUUUGAAUCAGGUCAUGAUCUCAGGGUCCUGGGGUUGAGUCCCACAUUGGGCUCCCUGCUCAGUAGGGAGCCUGCUUCUCCCUCUGCCUACCAUUCCCCCUGCUUGUGCUCUAGCUCUCUCUCUGAUAAAAAAAUUAAAAAAAGAAAAAAAAAAUUCUAUCCAUUUUUCAGUGCUCAUCACAACAGGUGUACUCUUAAUCUUUAAUUGGGGGAAUCCUUUUAGACCUGUAAACCGUGGUAUGAUAAUACAUAACAUUAAGGUGGUAUAGGGAUGGAUCUUAAUAUUACAAGAUUUGUAAUAUGGCUUGGAAAAAGCAAUUAAAUUUAAAAAGCUUGGAAGAUCAGGAUAGUACUUAGCAAAUUUUUUAAAAUAAUGACUAUAUAAAAGUACAUUGAUUUUACUACUCCUAGAAAUUAAAUAAUAGGUGAAGAAUUAGCUUAUUCAGCCAGAGAGUAUGCAUAUGAAUCAUGUAUUUAUAACUAUGUAGUCCGUCAUUAAAAAAUGUACAUAGAUCACAUAAUUAUGAAAUAAGAUUGUUUUGCAGAUUCUGGAGACAGAGUUUUUUUGCGUGUUUUACAUCAUCUCAAAGUACAGUAGACCCGGGCGCCUGGGUGGCUCAGUUGGUUAAGCGACUGCCUUCGGCUCAGGUCAUGAUCCUGGAGUCCCGGGAUCGAGUCCCGCAUUGGGCUCCCUGCUUGGCAGGGAGUCUGCUUCUCCCUCUGACCCUCCCCCGUCUCAUGUACUCGCUCGCUCUCAUUCUCUCUCCCUCAAAUAAAUAAAUAAAAUCUUUAAAAAAAAAAUUAAAAAAAAAAGUACAGUAGGCCCUUCUCUGUCCUGGCUGCAGCAGACAGCCAUAAAAGAAAGCCACCUUGUAAGAGCUUUGAACUAAUCACACUCCUAUAAUGCCAAGAAACAAAGCAAACUGAAACCUCAUCAGAUAAGGACGGACACUGCCACAGAGAGGGAGCGAUUUGGUGAACAAAUUUACUUGAGGAUCAUUAGUGGACUGUAGUCUAAAAGCAAAAGGAAUUAUUAGAAAAUUUUUAACUUGGGGCGCCUGGGUGGCUCCGUUGGUUAAGUGACUGCCUUCGGCUCAGGUCAUGAUCCUGGAGUCCCGGGAUCGAGUCCUGCAUCGGGCUCCCUGCUCGGCGGGGAGCCUGCUUCUCCCUCUGACCCUCCUCCCUCUCAUGCUCUCUCUCAUUCUCUCUCUCUAAAAUAAAUAAAUAAAAUCUUUAAAAAAAAAAAAAGAAAAGAAAAUUUUUAACUUUAUUCAGUAAUUGUAUUCUCUUAUUAAUAUUGCAGUGUUAUUUUGGAACUUAUUGUUAGGUAAAACAUAUAAUGUCUAGUAGGUAUCUUAGUUUUCUUUGGAUGCUGUAACAAAUUCCUUUAUGCUGCUUAUGCUACCAAAGGGAAAAUAUUAUUGAAUGUAUUUUUUGGAGUUUUUUUUUUUAAACAUUUUUAAGUGAAGCAUAGUUGACAUGCACAUAUUAGUUUCACGAUAUUGCAACACAGUGGAGAUACAGAAGAUACUUUUUUUUCAAGUUUUUCUUUUAAGAUAGCUUCAGGGAUUGCCCCUGAGUAAGAAACUGGCCCCACAGAGGGUCCUCUCUCCCCAUAGUUCUCCACCCCCACACCCCCACAGAUAUGAAGCCUAGCCUUCAUAUCUGUUUCACCUAAGACCUUCCACGAUCUCAAUUAGGAGCAAUACAUAAAAGCAUUUUGAUCCUGGUUGAUUCCCAUCUCUAGGAACCCCAAGGCUUGGCCAAUAUCACAAGAGAAAGAAAAAGUUACCAGCUGAGAUAUGGCAGCAAAAUCCCCAGGAAUCCACUAAAUCAAAGUGUGUUCAUACAGAGGCCUUGCCUAGUUCUUAGAACAGUAACUUUUUGCUUUGCUGUAACUUGAGCAUGAGGGAGAUACUGACACACUAUCCCAAAGAAAUAGGUGCUGAGAGAACCUUGGCCCCUAGUGUUCUACCACUGACUGCCUUCUUGACCGCCUUGUAUUUUGGUAAGUUUUACAAAGUAGCCUUACCUUUAGUUGCCUGGUCCUGUACUGCUGGUUUCAUUUAAUAAAAUGGACUUCUGGGUGUUUGGCAACAAAAGCAUUAAAGGACAGACCUGAAAUAAAACUAAAAGUGCUCCAAGAAAACAGUCACUGAGUUAUUCUACCUAAGGUAACGAAAAGAAAUUUCUAUCCUUGAGAAUCUCUGCUAACUCCAGAGGGCCAAGAAUUUCAUGAAAAAGAGGCCUCUUGGAAAGUGCCCAGUUUCUAUCUUUUCCAUUUUGAGAAAAUAUCACAGGUGUGCUUCUUUCUCUUUGUAUCCCUAAAAAGGCAAUUUACAUUUGUUUUGCCUUGGUUGUGAAGGCAGCACUGAAUUUAAUUUAGCUCUGAUUUUUGUCUUCUGGCUAAAUUGUAGCUCUCCAGGGAAACUUAAAAAUAUGGAUUGUGAAAUAUACCUAACCAUAUUCUUUUCAUUGCAGCUGCAUUUCUGCAUGUUCCAACCAUAGCACAAAUAAUUUGAGGAAUUUCUUCUAAUUAUAACCUCAAGCUUCCUGGAUCAUCUUUGAGUGAUGGAUGCUUCUGAGGCUCAGAUAAUUCACUGUGGAGGAAGCUAGUAGCCAGGCUAGAAGCCCAUGUGGUGAGGAACUGAGGCGUCCCACAGACAGCCAUGUGAGUGAACAAUCUGAAAGUGGCACCUUCAGCCCCAGUCAAGCCAUCAGAUGAAACUGCAGUAUCAGCCAGUAUCCUAACUACAACCUCCUGAGAGGCUCUGAGCCAGCGCCCCCCAGAUUUUGAACUUGGUCACAGUAUUUGACCUCUGAGUCUCAGUGUCAUCAUCUGGAAAAGGUAGGGUAAUAAUAGUACCUCAUAUAUUACGAUUGUAGUGAAAUAAUGUGAAUAAAAUGUGAAGUGUGAAUGAAAUGAUGCUUCUCAAGCACUUAGCCCAUUUCUGGCAAUACUAACCACUCAGUAAAUGUUAGAUGGCUACAAUUAUGUUGUGGAUUUUCAUCGUUUUGUUAUUAUCAUGACUAUUUUUAUUAUGUAAAGCAGAAAGUUAAUAUAUAAAUUUAUAAUAAAACGUAGUAUAGUACCUGGAAUGCUUGGGUAGCCUCUCAGUAGUACUUAAUUUCUUGGUUUAAGGAUAAUUUAGAUAUAGAACCGGUAGUUAGAAAGCUGUCUGAUUAAUGAGGUCAGAACAGAUGAACAUAGGGGAAGGGAAGGAAAAAUAAAAUAAGAUAAAAACAGAGAGGGAGGCAAACCAUAAGAGACUCUUAACUAUAGGAAAAAAAAACUGAG